rnacentral:rRNA from 1 species
UGGCCGUAAACGAUGUGGACUUGGUGUUGGAAUGGCUCCGAGCUGCUCCAGUGCCGAAGGGAAGCUGUUAAGUCCACCGCCCGGGAAGUACGGUCGCAAGACUGAAACUUAAAGAAAUUGGCGGGGGGAGCACCACAACGCGUGGAGCCUGCGGUUUAAUUGGAUUCAACGCCGGACGUCUCACCAGGGGCGACAGCAGAAUGAUGGCCAGGUUGAUGACCUUGCUUGACAAGCUGAGAGGAGGUGCAUGGCGUGUGACUGU